AGAGUUUGAUCCUGGCUCAGGACGAACGCUGGCGGCGUGCUUAACACAUGCAAGUCGAGCGGAAAGGCCCUUCGGGGUACUCGAGCGGCGAACGGGUGAGUAACACGUGAGCAACCUGCCCUCAGCUCCGGGAUAGCUCCGGGAAACCGGAAUUAAUACCGGAUAUGACCACGAUCGACAUCGGCCGUGGUGGAAAGGAUUCCGGCUGAGGAUGGGCUCGCGGCCUAUCAGCUAGUUGGUGGGGUAACGGCCUACCAAGGCUACGACGGGUAGCCGGCCUGAGAGGGCGACCGGCCACACUGGGACUGAGACACGGCCCAGACUCCUACGGGAGGCAGCAGUGGGGAAUAUUGCGCAAUGGGCGAAAGCCUGACGCAGCGACGCCGCGUGGGGGAUGAAGGCCUUCGGGUUGUAAACCCCUUUCAGCAGGGACGAAGCGCAAGUGACGGUACCUGCAGAAGAAGCGCCGGCUAACUACGUGCCAGCAGCCGCGGUAAUAC
rnacentral:rRNA from 1 species